rnacentral:ncRNA from 1 species
UACCUGGUUGAUCCUGCCAGUAGUCAUAUGCUUGUCUCACAGAUUAAGCCAUGCAAGUCUAAGUACGAGCUCUCGUACAGUGAAACUGCGAAUGGCUCAUUAAAUCAGUUAUGGUUCAUUUGAUCGUACAGUUUACUUGGAUAACUGUGGUAAUUCUAGAGCUAAUACAUGCGAGAAGCGCCGACCUCGCGGGAGGCGUGCAUUUAUCAGACCAAAAACCGGCCGCGUCUUCGGGCGCGUUCGCCUUGGUGACUCUGGAUAACUUUGCGGAUCGCACGGUCUAGCACCGGCGACGGAUCAUUCAAGUGUCUGCCCUAUCAACUUUCGUCGGUACGGUAUUUGCCUACCGAGGUUCUUACGGGUGACGGGGAAUCAGGGUUCGAUUCCGGAGAGGGAGCCUGAGAAACGGCUACCACAUCCAAGGAAGGCAGCAGGCGCGCAAAUUACCCAUUCCCGACGCGGGGAGGUAGUGACGAAAAAUAACAAUGCACGACUCGUUCGAGGCCCUGUAAUUGGAAUGAGUACACUUUAAAAGCUUUAACGAGUAUCCAUUGGAGGGCAAGUCUGGUGCCAGCAGCCGCGGUAAUUCCAGCUCCCAAAGUAUAUAUUUAAGGUGGUUGCGGCUAAAAAGCUCCUAGUUGGAUUUUGGGC